GAUAAAAGGUACUCCGGGGAUAACAGGCUGAUACCGCCCAAGAGUUCAUAUCGACGGCGGUGUUUGGCACCUCGAUGUCGGCUCAUCACAUCCUGGGGCUGAAGUAGGUCCCAAGGGUAUGGCUGUUCGCCAUUUAAAGUGGUACGCGAGCUGGGUUUAGAACGUCGUGAGACAGUUCGGUCCCUAUCUGCCGUGGGCGCUGGAGAACUGAGGGGGGCUGCUCCUAGUACGAGAGGACCGGAGUGGACGCAUCACUGGUGUUCGGGUUGUCAUGCCAAUGGCACUGCCCGGUAGCUAAAUGCGGAAGAGAUAAGUGCUGAAAGCAUCUAAGCACGAAACUUGCCCCGAGAUGAGUUCUCCCUGACCCUUUAAGGGUCCUGAAGGAACGUUGAAGACGACGACGUUGAUAGGCCGGGUGUGUAAGCGCAGCGAUGCGUUGAGCUAACCGGUACUAAUGAACCGUGAGG
rnacentral:rRNA from 1 species